UGAUCGGCCAAGAACACUGUGAGCCAAAGGAGACACAGUGCAGGUGUGAAGGGAAUGCAGACUGCUCUUAAAUGUGAAAGACAGUACAUCGUUCGCACCGUGUGCCCUCCGUGGAUUGAUACAUCCAUCUUUGCCUCCACGUGAGCUGCUGUAGAUGUGUCUGUGCGGUUCACCAUAUGGGAGGCAGACCCCGCUGGAAAACCUACACCGAGCAGCACACCAACAGCAGCAGCAGCUAAAGAAACCUUACGCUGUCAAAACAAAGUGUGGCCCGCACAUUUCAACCGUGCCAGCAGAAGCCGCUGAAUUUGAAAGCCUGUCGAGGGAAAUGUACACACAUCAACACUCAUACGUAAAGACAGAGACAGUCGCAAACAAACCGCGAGCACGGACCACCAUGAGUGUUUUCUCUCUCCCUCUCUCUGUGAUGAGAAAGUCCUUGUCUGUCUCCGCCGUCACGAUGACAAGAUGAUCAACCGCCGAGCGCUCGCGAGGGUCAGAGGUCACGGUUCGGCCUCAUCCCGCCCUCGCAUCAGACCACAGCUGUCACAGCUCCGCGUCUGAUGUUUGCCCUCAAACGCCGGGGGUUUCUUUUCCCCGAAGACUCUCCGAUUGCUACGUAAAGAGCAAGGGCUAUUUCUGCUCCAAGGCCCACGUGCGGAGAGGAAAUGAAGUCGCUCUCCCUCUGCUCUCCAGCUCCAUCAUCAUCAUCAUCAUCAUCACGGGGUGGAAAAAACAGUGCAAGACAGUAGCUGUGUUCAAGUGGUCUGGGAAUGGUAGAGAUUGAAAGUGAUGAGUGGUGACUUAAAGGUCAAGGGGUGACGGCAGAGGAAAGCACCUACAGAGAGGGAGAGGCGUGGGUGUGUGUGUGUGUGUGUGUGUACAUAAGGGGGAUGGUUGAGGAGGCUCAGAGGUGGCUCAAAUGGAAAAGUCAGUAAAGUGUUGUGUUACGUCUCUUUAUUUCCCUUCUUCAUUCCCUUCUUCCUGUCUGUCUGAGAGCGGGCUGACGAGGAUUACCGCGUGUGCGGACGCAGCGUGUCUGCAUGCAUGUCUGCAACUGUGCUUUCACACGCGAUUUGAUUAUCCCGUCCAGUAAAUGGCUCAUGUAAAUUUUGACAAAACAUCGGGACAAGAGGUAGGAUCACACAGUAACGCUUGUCCUGGAGAGCUCUUUUUUUUUUAAUUUUAGAGAUUGAUGAGCAAUAAAAGGGAAAAAAAGGACAGGUGGUUUUAAAAAGCGAUCGAUCAAAAGGAACAGAAGCAACAGCAAUAAAGCAAAGUAGGGGAAUAGAAAGGUGACCAGAGAGACAAGUGUUAAACUGGAUGGGGGCAAGUGUAGCUGUCGACUUCUCUCCAGGAGGACACAUGCUCCACGCAGCCCUGAUCAGACCCAGAUGUGCCGGGAUGUGCACAGCUGUGGGAAACAUGACUGCAUGUAAAUACGGAUGGUUGGGAAACUCGCUUUACAUACAGUACAUAUAUGAACAGAUUUAGGCUGAGGGUUUUCGUGUCUGACAACCGAAAAGAGACGUUUAGAUAAGCGUUUGCUCAGGAUGUGAAUGCUGCUGACAAAUGACAAUGUUGUCCCCAGACACAGGAAGUCACAGUCACGGGAGCCCUAUAGGACCAAAG